rnacentral:rRNA from 1 species
GACGAACGCUGGCGGCGUGCCUAGUACAUGCAAGUUGAGCGCUGAAGGAUGGUACUUGUGCCAACUGGAUGAGCAGCGAACGGGUGAGUAACGCGUGGGGAAUCUGCCUUUGAGCAGGGGACAACAUUUGGAAACGAAUGCUAAUACCGCAUAAAACCUUUAAACACAAGUUUUAAGUUUGAAAGAUGCAAUUGCAUCACUCAAAGAUGAUCCCGCGUUGUAUUAGCUAGUUGGUGAGGUAAAGGCUCACCAAGGCGAUGAUACAUAGCCGACCUGAGGGGGGGAUCGGCCCAAUUGGGACUUAGACCAGGCCCAAGAUUCUUCGGGAGGCAGCAGUAGGGAAUUUUUGGAAAUGGACGAAAGUCUGAACGAGCAACUCCGCGGGAGUGAAGAAGGUUUUCGGAUCGUAAAACUCUGUUGGUAGAGAAGAACGUGGGUGAGAGUGGAACGCUCACCAAGUGACGGUAACUACACAGAAAGGGACGGCUAACUACGUG